GACGAACGCUGGCGGCGUGCUUAACACAUGCGAGUCGAACGGAAAGGCCCUGCUUUUGUGGGGUGCUCGAGUGGCGAACGGGUGAGUAACACGUGAGUAACCUGCCCUUGACUUUGGGAUAACUUCAGGAAACUGGGGCUAAUACCGGAUAGGAGCUCCUGCUGCAUGGUGGGGGUUGGAAAGUUUCGGCAGUUGGGGAUGGACUCGCGGCUUAUCAGCUUGUUGGUGGGGUAGUGGCUUACCAAGGCUUUGACGGGUAGCCGGCCUGAGAGGGUGACCGGCCACAUUGGGACUGAGAUACGGCCCAGACUCCUACGGGAGGCAGCAGUGGGGAAUAUUGCACAAUGGGCUGAAGCCUGAUGCAGCAACGCCGCGUGCGGGAUGACGGCCUUCGGGUUGUAAACCGCUUUCGCCUGUGACGAAGCGUGAGUGACGGUAAUGGGUAAAGAAGCACCGGCUAACUACGUG
rnacentral:rRNA from 1 species